GUCCCUGUAGCGCAGGGGAUAGCGCGCUGGACUUCUAAUCCUGAGGCCGUGGGUUCGAAUCCCACCAGGGAUG
rnacentral:tRNA from 1 species